rnacentral:rRNA from 1 species
GAUGAACGCUGGCGGCGUGCCUAAUACAUGCAAGUCGAGCGAACGGACGAGAAGCUUGCUUCUCUGAUGUUAGCGGCGGACGGGUGAGUAACACGUGGAUAACCUACCUAUAAGACUGGGAUAACUUCGGCAAACCGGAGCUAAUACCGGAUAAUAUUUUGAACCGCAUGGUUCAAAAGUGAAAGACGGUCUUGCUGUCACUUAUAGAUGGAUCCGCGCUGCAUUAGCUAGUUGGUAAGGUAACGGCUUACCAAGGCAACGAUGCAUAGCCGACCUGAGAGGGGGACCGGCCACACGGGACCUGAAACAGGGCCCGGACCCCUCGGGGAGGCAGAAGAAGGGAUUAUUCCGAAAGGGGAGAAAGCCGGAGGGAGCAACGCCGGGUGAGUGAUAGAGGUCUUCGAAUCGAAAAACUUUGUUAUGGGGGAAAAACAUAUGUGAAAGUACCUGUGCACAUCUUGAGGUAACCAAAUAAAAAAGCCACGGCAAACUCGGUG